rnacentral:rRNA from 1 species
ACACCUGUAUUGCUAGUACGGCGAGUGAAGCGGCAACAGCUCAAAUUUGAAAUCUGGCUCUCGGGCCCGAGUUGUAAUUUGUAGAGGAUGCUUUUGAUGCGGUGCCUUCCGAGUUCCCUGGAACGGGACGCCAUAGAGGGUGAGAGCCCCGUCUGGUUGGAUGCCAAAUCUCUGUAAAGCUCCUUCGACGAGUCGAGUAGUUUGGGAAUGCUGCUCUAAAUGGGAGGUAUAUGUCUUCUAAAGCUAAAUACCGGCCAGAGACCGAUAGCGCACAAGUAGAGUGAUCGAAAGAUGAAAAGCACUUUGAAAAGAGAGUUAAAAAGUACGUGAAAUUGUUGAAAGGGAAGCGUUUAUGACCAGACUUGGGCUUGGUUAAUCAUCUGGGGUUCUCCCCAGUGCACUUUUCCAGUCCAGGCCAGCAUCAGUUUUCGCCGGGGGAUAAAGGCUUCGGGAAUGUGGCUCCCUCCGGGGAGUGUUAUAGCCCGUUGCGUAAUACCCUGGCGGGGACUGAGGUUCGCGCUUCUGCAAGGAUGCUGGCGUAAUGGUCAUCAACGACCCGUCUUGAACACGGGAACA